rnacentral:rRNA from 1 species
GACGAACGCUGGCGGCGUGCUUAACACAUGCAAGUCGAACGGAAAGGCCCUGCUUGCAGGGUGCUCGAGUGGCGAACGGGUGAGUAACACGUGGGUGAUCUGCCCCUUACUUUGGGAUAAGCCUGGGAAACUGGGUCUAAUACUGGAUAGGACCAUGCUGUAGGUGGUGUGGUGGAAAGAUUAGUUUCGGUAAGGGAUGAGCUCGCGGCCUAUCAGCUUGUUGGUGGGGUAAUGGCCUACCAAGGCGUCGACGGGUAGCCGGCCUGAGAGGGUGGACGGCCACAUUGGGACUGAGAUACGGCCCAGACUCCUACGGGAGGCAGCAGUGGGGAAUAUUGCACAAUGGGCGCAAGCCUGAUGCAGCGACGCCGCGUGGGGGAUGACGGCCUUCGGGUUGUAAACUCCUUUCAGCCAUGACGAAGCCCUUGUGGUGACGGUAGUGGUAGAAGAAGCACCGGCUAACUAC